UACGUAGGUGGCAAGCGUUGUCCGGAUUUACUGGGCGUAAAGAGCGCGCAGGCGGUCGUUCAAGUCGCGUGUGAAAGCCCCCGGCUCAACUGGGGAGGGUCACGCGAUACUGAUCGACUCGAAGGCAGGAGAGGGUAGUGGAAUUCCCGGUGUAGUGGUGAAAUGCGUAGAUAUCGGGAGGAACACCAGUGGCGAAGGCGACUACCUGGCCUGUCCUUGACGCUGAGAAGCGAAAGCAUGGGGAGCGAACAGG
rnacentral:rRNA from 1 species